AAGUCGUAACAAGGUUUCCGUAGGUGAACCUGCGGAAGGAUCAUUACUGACUGCUUGGGGAAACAUUGCCUAUAGAACUACCGCUCGAUUGUAACUGUUCCAAUGUUCGCACGUAGCCAGAGGUCUCUGAAUCACUACAACUUUCCGGGCUAUGAUUUAUCAGAGAUUGCGAACUACGCGGGUUACAAGAGCAGGGUGAAGGUUCACGGGGGGGGGGCUUUAACGUUUGGAUACGUGUCGGAAAGUGUCAUUGAUUGUGCAAGGAUAGCGCUUCUACGAUUCCUGUAGACCGUACACUCGGGCAGGAGCUUUGCCAAAGGGCCCCCAUGCCCCCUAAUAACCCCACAGUUUAAUGUGAAGCUCAAUGUAAUACAUUGGGUAAAAAAACCGAACAACUGUUAACAAUGGAUAUCUUGGUUCUC
rnacentral:misc_RNA from 1 species